rnacentral:rRNA from 1 species
CCUACGGGGGGCUGCAGUAGGGAAUCUUCGGCAAUGGACGGAAGUCUGACCGAGCAACGCCGCGUGAGUGAAGAAGGUUUUCGGAUCGUAAAGCUCUGUUGUAAGAGAAGAACGAGUGUGAGAGUGGAAAGUUCACACUGUGACGGUAUCUUACCAGAAAGGGACGGCUAACUACGUGCCAGCAGCCGCGGUAAUACGUAGGUCCCGAGCGUUGUCCGGAUUUAUUGGGCGUAAAGCGAGCGCAGGCGGUUAGAUAAGUCUGAAGUUAAAGGCUGUGGCUUAACCAUAGUACGCUUUGGAAACUGUUUAACUUGAGUGCAAGAGGGGAGAGUGGAAUUCCAUGUGUAGCGGUGAAAUGCGUAGAUAUAUGGAGGAACACCGGUGGCGAAAGCGGCUCUCUGGCUUGUAACUGACGCUGAGGCUCGAAAGCGUGGGGAGCAAACAGGAUUAGAUACCCUUGUAGUC